UGCAGUGAGCCGAGAUUGCGCCACUGCACUCCAGCCUAGUCAAGAGAAGCGAAAUUCCGUCUCAAAAAAACAAACAAACAAACAAAAAAAACUCCAAAAAAGAAAACUCCGAUUCUGAACAAGAAUGCUCACAGGGGCAUUGUUCCUAUUGGCCCUAACUGUGGACAACCUCAGUAUCUACAGGAGAGCCAGAAAAAUAAACUACACUUAGCCAUGUGAUGAAUAUGCAGCAAAAUACAGCAGAGAGAGCAAUGGAAAGGAACGGAUAACUCCAAGGACAACAAUGGAUGCAUUUUACAAACAUAAUGCUGAGCAAAAGAAACAAGACACACGAAAAUAGAUACUUUAUCAUGCUGUUUCCAUAACAC
rnacentral:lncRNA from 1 species